UAGUGGCGAACGGGUGAGUAACACGUGAGUAACCUGCCCUUGACUCUGGGAUAAGCCUGGGAAACUGGGUCUAAUACUGGAUAUGCACCGUGAACCGCAUGGUUUUUGGUGGAAAGAUUUAUUGGUCAAGGAUGGACUCGCGGCCUAUCAGCUUGUUGGUGAGGUAAUGGCUCACCAAGGCGACGACGGGUAGCCGGCCUGAGAGGGUGACCGGCCACACUGGGACUGAGACACGGCCCAGACUCCUACGGGAGGCAGCAGUGGGGAAUAUUGCACAAUGGGCGAAAGCCUGAUGCAGCGACGCCGCGUGAGGGAUGACGGCCUUCGGGUUGUAAACCUCUUUCAGUAGGGAAGAAGCGAAAGUGACGGUACCUGCAGAAGAAGCGCCGGCUAACUACGUGCCAGCAGCCGCGGUAAUACGUAGGGCGCAAGCGUUAUCCGGAAUUAUUGGGCGUAAAGAGCUCGUAGGCGGUUUGUCGCGUCUAUCGUGAAAGUCCGAGGCUCAACCUCGGAUCUGCGGUGGGUACGGGCAGACUACAGUGAUGUAGGGGAGACUGGAAUUCCUGGUGUAGCGGUGAAA
rnacentral:rRNA from 1 species